AUGUAUUAUUCUUAGGGCAAAUCAUUUCAGCCUCCCCAAUCGCCUCUGUCUCUAGUCUCGUUCUCAACUCUGAACUUACCCUCUCUCUCUCUCUCUCUCUCUGCAACUGCAAACUACAAAAUCUACAAGAAUCAGAAGUUCAAAACCCAUAUAUUUCAGUUUAUCUAUCUGUCUGCAAGAAUCAAAAGUUAAAUACCCAUAUCGGCAUAUCAUUUCAGAUUGUUCAAAAAAUCAAAACCCAUAUCUUUCAGUUUCCAUCGCCCGCUGUUCCAGUUCGGGUUCGCCGUUCGCAAGCUCAGACGCUGUCUCUCAACUCUCAAGCUUGCCCCCCUCUCCCUCUGCAACUGCUAACUUGGUUAAUAUCGGGCCUUAACAUUUAGCAAGAACAAGGUUCAAGAAAUAUGCCUCCUCAGUCAUCAGGUCACUUUUCUGAAAGAAGAGAGUUGAUGGGAAUGAGUGGAGUAGGGGAAAAGAAGGUUCAAUGGACAAACUCUGGAUUUCCAUUUGAUUGCCUUACCUUUUGGUCCGUAAUAACUAACUAUAACUAAUUGAGUCAUUAGGUACCUGAAGAUGUUGGGAGGUACCUGAAGAUGUUGGGAGCAUAUGUUUCUGCUGGGUUUAAAACUCUGACCUUCAAGGACCACAUUAAGUGUGGGGUGUUCCUGGUUAGCUUGGGUAUUUAUUGCUCUCGGGAUUUGUGAGAUAAGAAGUAUGUGGUGGAGCAAAACUUGAAGAUGCGUUCGGUUCAUGCGAAGGAACGCAUUGCUACAGCUUGUGAAAUUCAAGCAGAGGCAUCCAUGCAGCAGGCAGAGGAUGCCGAGCGCUAUGCAAGCGCUUCAGAGUCGGACAAACUCUGGAUAUCAAUCUGAUUUGCCUCAUUUUUUUAGUUUUUUACUUUGGUCUGUAAUAACAAACUAAUUGAGACAUUAGGUAGUACCUAUUUGGUGAACAUAGUUUGAACCUUUACAUCUAAUCAACAACCGCAUUACUCUAUCAUUAGCACAUAAUAA